AGUGAACGCUGGCGGUAGGCCUAACACAUGCAAGUCGAACGGCAGCACAGUAAGAGCUUGCUCUUACGGGUGGCGAGUGGCGGACGGGUGAGGAAUACAUCGGAAUCUACUUUUUCGUGGGGGAUAACGUAGGGAAACUUACGCUAAUACCGCAUACGACCUACGGGUGAAAGCAGGGGAUCUUCGGACCUUGCGCGAUUGAAUGAGCCGAUGUCGGAUUAGCUAGUUGGCGGGGUAAAGGCCCACCAAGGCGACGAUCCGUAGCCGGUCUGAGAGGAUGAUCGGCCACACUGGAACUGAGACACGGUCCAGACUCCUACGGGAGGCAGCAGUGGGGAAUAUUGGACAAUGGGCGCAAGCCUGAUCCAGCCAUACCGCGUGGGUGAAGAAGGCCUUCGGGUUGUAAAGCCCUUUUGUUGGGAAAGAAAAGCAGCAGGUUAAUACCCCGCUGUUCUGACGGUACCCAAAGAAUAAGCACCGGCUAACUUCGUG
rnacentral:rRNA from 1 species